rnacentral:rRNA from 1 species
UUAUAUACAAUAGCGGAGGAAAAGAAAAUAUUUUGGAAUUCCCCAGCGGAGGAAAAGAAACCAACAGGGAUUCCCUUAGAAGCUGCGAGUGUAGCGGCUAAAGCUCAAAUUUGAAAUCUGGCACCUUCGGUGUCCGAGUUGUAAUUUGAAGAUUGUAACCUCGGGGUUGGCUCUAGUGUAUGUUUCUUGUAACAGGACGUCAUAGACGGUGAGAAUCCCGUGGGUUGAGAUGCCCAGUCUUAUGUAAGAUGCUUUCGAAGAGUGGAGUGGUAAGGGAAUGCAGAUCUAAAUGGGUGGUAAAUUCCAUUUAAAGACAAAUAUCGGGGAGAGACGGAUAGAGAACAAGUACAAUGAGGGAAAGACGAAAAGAAAUUUGAAAAAAGAGAGAAAAAGUACGUGAAAUCGUUGAAAGGGAGAGGGUUUGAGAUCAGACUGGAUAUUUUGUGAGCCUGCCGUUCGUGGCGGGGUGACCCGCGGGUAAUAGGGCCAGGAUAGGUUGGGGUCGGUAGGAUAAGGAUGUAGGAAUGUGAGUAUGCUUCGCUGAAGUGUGAUGACCGGAGCGCUCCUGCCGUCCUAGAUCUUGGGAUCACGUCUGUUCAUAGUGCAUGCCAAUCGAUCAGAAAGU